AGGGUUCGAUUAUGGCUCAGAUUGAACGCUGGCGGUAGGCUUAACACAUGCAAGUCGUGCGAGAAAGUAUCUUCGGAUAUGAGUAGAGCGGCGGACGGGUGAGUAACGCGUAGGAAUCUACCUAGUAGAAGGGGAUAGCCCGAGGAAACUCGGAUUAAUACCGUAUACCUCCUUAGGGAGAAAGAGGGCCUCUCUUGAUGCUCUCGCUAUUAGAUGAGCCUGCGUAAGAUUAGCUUGUUGGUGAGGUAAUGGCUCACCAAGGCUACGAUCUUUAGCUGGUCUGAGAGGACGAUCAGCCACAUUGGGACUGAGACACGGCCCAGACUCCUACGGGAGGCAGCAGUGGGGAAUAUUGGACAAUGGGCGCAAGCCUGAUCCAGCCAUACCGCGUGUGUGAAGAAGGCCCUAGGGUUGUAAAGCACUUUAAGCAGGGAGAAAAAGUUAUAAGUUAAUACCUUAUAACCUUGAUGUUACCUGCAGAAUAAGCACCGGCUAAUUCCGUGCCAGCAGCCGCGGUAAUAC
rnacentral:rRNA from 1 species